UUGUAUUCUUAUCUUCAUGCAAUUUAACAUGAAACUUUCAUCUGCAUUUUUUCUCAGAAACUUUCUUUCAUUCUUCUUUCUACGUCUAUGUCCUUCGAUUCACUUUCAGUUUUAGUUGUUGUGCCUCUGUGACCUUUUUCCCUUUUGAUAAUUGGAGAUAGAAACUACAUUGAAACAGAUGCAUUCUCAGAACAAAAACAGUUCUUCCUACUUGGCAGAAUGAAACGCAGAAAUGAAUUUCAGACAACGUGAGAAGUAUAAGCAAAAUGGAAUCCACUAAAAAACAUGCUCUACUACCAAAACACCGACUACGAGCAAAAAAUCCACUGCAUCUGCAUUGUCAUCUGAAAUAGGUUAGAAUACUAAGCAUAUGUGUUUUCUGCCUUUGUGUAGAAUUUUCUACAUGUUCAUAUAUAUCUUCUGAUAAAUACGCUUACUUUGUCAAGCUUAUUUGGUUA